rnacentral:miRNA from 1 species
UGGAUGUGACAUACUCUAGUA